rnacentral:rRNA from 1 species
UGUGCUAAGGUAGCAUAAUAAUUUGUCUUUUAAUUGAAGACUGGAAUGAAAGGCAUCAUGGGGAUAAGCUGUCUUAUAUAAAAUCCUUAAAAUUUUUUUAGAAGGUGAAAAUACCUUUAAAAUAUACAUAAGACGAGAAGACCCUUAGAAUUAUGACAAUGCUCUUGAUUAGGGGAAAGUUUUUGUUGGGGCAACAUUGUCAGAUUGAAAACUGAUAAUUUUUAAAAUUAAACAAGACCAUUAUAUUUUAUAUGUAUUUAAUUACCUAAGGGAUAACAGCAUAAUUCCUAUAGGAGAGUAUGACCUCGAUGUUGGACUAAGGACUUUUUACACUAGAUGUGAAAAAAGCUUGUUCUGUUCGAACAAUAAUAACCUUACGUGAUCUGAGUUCAGACC